UAUAAGUAUAAACGAUUUUAUCGUGAAACCGCGAACGGCUCAUUAUAACAGCUAUAAUUCACUUGAUCUUGACAAUCCUACUUGGAUAACUGUGGUAAUUCUAGAGCUAAUACAUGCACCAAAGCUCCGACCUUACGGGAGGAGCGCAUUUAUUAGAACAAAACCAAGCGACUUCGGUCGUCUUUUGUUGACUCAGAAUAACUAAGCUGAUCGCAUGGUCUUGUACCGGCGACGUGUCUUUCAAGUAUCUGCCUUAUCAACUUUCGAUGGUAGUGUAUCUGACUACCAUGGUGGUGACGGGUAACGGAGGAUAAGGGUUCGACUCCGGAGAAGGGGCCUGAGAAAUGGCCACUACGUCUAAGGAUGGCAGCAGGCGCGCAAAUUACCCACUCUCAGAACAUUGAGGAGGUAGUGACGAAAAAUAACGAGACCGUUCUCUUUGAGGCCGGUCAUCGGAAUGGGUACAAUCUAAA
rnacentral:rRNA from 1 species